rnacentral:misc_RNA from 1 species
CUGUUUACAAAUCGUCUUUUCGAUGCCACCCAAUACAAAGCAACAGUCUUCACUUACCAUUUGCUUUUUCGUUUCUCGCCUACUCUUGCAGGCCAUACCACGCCCCUUUUUUAACUCUCCUGCAUCGAGCACAAGAAGCAAAUGACAAGAAACCGCUGCUACCACUCGGCAUAGGGCUCUAGCUGGACUUUUUUUGGUCGACGCGGCGAUUGUCCGGGUGUGCUGUGCAUGACACCUUCAGCGGCCGGAUCACGCCGUUGUCGUUUUUGGAUCGCCGGAUACCUAGUGAUGAUACGCUACGGGGGAAUGUGGAUCUCAUCUAGCCUCUAGCACAAUCUCUCUUCCUGCGUGGGCUGGCAAACAGUGAACACAUUGUGAUGAGCUGGGAGAACGACGUUUCCUACAGUACAGCGGGUGUGAUAGACUAUCGUCACCAUCUUUUUCUCUGCUGGAUGGAAUUUUCGACUGUCUGUCUUCUCCGAGCUUUGGCACCAGUGCGUAACGCUGCCGGAGCGCUGCACCGGGGAGUGCGAAGACAUUCCAAAGUCAGCGAGGUGUGAGGGGCUCUUUCACCAAGCCGGCUUCUUCGACACGUGCCGCGCCGAACCGCUGGAGUCCAUCCAGGAGUCUAAAGAGUCGUCAGCGUGACCGCUAGGCCGUGUAGCUCGUCACACCGAGUGAGCUUGCUGGAACAGAGCCCAACGUUAACACUUGAAUAUCAACCGGCGGCUGCUUCUGCAUCGAUGCAUAGCUGGCCAUGGACCCUGGCGAGCAGAUGAAGAUGUGCACGUAUCACUCUUUUUCUGCAAGCGUCGCAGCAGUGUUGUGUCUGAAGGCGGAGAGCAUUUUGCCCUGCAACACGGAGGGGAAAACGUGGGCCAUACGAAAGCAGACCCCGACAGUUUCGAGGCGCCGUUGAUGGUGGUAGCGGUCAGUCCGUGACUCAACAACGAGCUUGAAUUGCUCGGCUACAGUUUUCCUCUCAACCUCCACUACGGCUGGCACACCCGCUUCUAGUCCGGCAACGGUACUCGACUGCACCAACAUCAACGCGGCUGCAGAGCACACCUACUCCAUGGAGCCGAUGCGGCAAGGAAUUAAGCUGAACGCUGACUUCGCCGCCACAUCACAUUCGGCGGCCAGCAGCUGAUGAGGGCGCGCCUCAGACGGUCCAACUGAAGGGCCCGAUCUCCAGCCCCUGGCUCGGCUAACUCCCCCGCACGGCUGAUAUGAAGCUCAUUAUCAAUGUGUUGCCGCGACAUCCGGGUCUAUCGAUGUGCUUUGGCCACUGUUCAAACCGCCUGAUCCUCGACCCGGUUUUGGGUUGAAUGCCGGCGGAGAUGAUUUGUAGAGAUCAACCUUUCAUUGACUCUUCACCGUUCUCCAAAAGCCGGUUUUGAGCAACAUCGGUGAUGCGAUCGUCCUCGUAGCUUUCCCUGUGGGUGCACCAUUCCACACUCGUCUUCCAGGCGCCUAUACUACUCCCCAUGAAUGCGACUCUGACCAUUCUGCCGCGGUCUCAUGCGCCGUCUUCUCGUGUACUCGUUUUUUUUUUUUCGCGCGGCGCACCCACCCACACAGACAAGCAACAAAAACUACCCACUUUUCGCUUUUCCGCUCUUUUAGUUUUUUUUUUUGCACCGAUUCGUAGAGGCGGGAUGCUUUCUCGUGUUCACUGGCUAGGACAUUCCCCGCCUGAUACGCUGCGCAUCUUCCUCCUGUGCAGCUGUUUCCAUUCUAAAAGCGAGACGUAGCACCAGCGGGCUCACCUUUUCAUAGUGUACUGUGAGCUUAUUUGCAUUGCAUCUGCUUCUUACUUUCGCCACUGUUUUGCCUUUAGUUUUCGUGGGAACUCUCCCAAUCGAUGACAAGUGUGCCCCACCUUUCUUCAUGUGCUAUCCUUACUAUCCUCUAUCUCCGUACUUCGUGGUAUAUGUCAGCCUCUGGUUUAGUUAGAUAAUGCCCUUGAGCAAAGCAAGAAGUGCACGCUUCUCUCGUGCGCGCGCCUUUCCAAGCGCGUUGGUGACUUUGUGCAUGCGAAAUAUUUUUCCUUUCCCUUUUCGCUCCACCGCAAAAAAAAAAGCGACGUUGCGCUGCUCACCACCAUUCCUCCGCUCUCGCGCCGACACACACUUUUUGAAUGCCUUUCCUAUCUGCUCACUUUCCGACACUGUAAGGCCAUUCAACUUCGUCUUUAUACCCUUCGUCUCCUCUUUCUGCCGCAG